rnacentral:rRNA from 1 species
CCUACGGGGGGCAGCAGUAAGGAAUAUUGCGCAAUGGGCGAAAGCCUGACGCAGCGACGCCGCGUGGGGGAUGAAGGUCUUCGGAUUGUAAACCCCUUUCGGGAGGGAAGAUGGAACGAGCAAUCGUUCGGACGGUACCUCCAGAAGCAGCCACGGCCAACUUCGUGCCAGCAGCCGCGGUAAUACGAAGGUGGCAAGCGUUGUUCCAAUUCACUGGGCGUAUGUGGAGGCGGGUUGGUAAGGUAAGCGUUCAAGCUUCGGGCCCAACCCGGAAAGCGCAGAGGGUACUGCCAGGCUAGAGGGUGGGAGAGGAGCGCGGAAUUCCCGGUGUAGCGGUGAAAUGCGUAGAGAUCGGGAGGAAGGCCGGUGGCGAAGGCGGCGCUCUGGAACAUACCUGACGCUGAGACACGAAAGCGUGGGGAGCAAACAGGAUUAGAUACCCGGGUAGUC